UACGUAGGGUGCAAGCGUUGUCCGGAAUUAUUGGGCGUAAAGAGCUCGUAGGCGGUUGGUCGCGUCGGCUGUGAAAUCCCGGAGCUCAACUCCGGGUCUGCAGUCGAUACGGGCCGACUUGAGUGUUGCAGGGGAGACUGGAAUUCCUGGUGUAGCGGUGAAAUGCGCAGAUAUCAGGAGGAACACCGGUGGCGAAGGCGGGUCUCUGGGCAACAACUGACGCUGAGGAGCGAAAGCGUGGGGAGCGAACAGG
rnacentral:rRNA from 1 species